rnacentral:rRNA from 1 species
UACAGAGGGUGCGAGCGUUUAAUCGGAAUUACUGGGCGUAAAGCGCGCGUAGGCGGCUUUGCAAGUCGGGUGUGAAAUCCCCAGGCUUAACCUGGGAACUGCAUUCGAGACUGCAUUGCUAGAGUAUGGGAGAGGGAAGUGGAAUUUCCGGUGUAGCGGUGAAAUGCGUAGAUAUCGGAAGGAACAUCAGUGGCGAAAGCGACUUCCUGGACCAGUACCGACGUUCAGGCACGAAAGCGUGGGGAGCAAACAGG